rnacentral:rRNA from 1 species
ACUCAAAUGAAUUGACGGGGACCCGCACAAGCAGCGGAGCGUGUGGUUUAAUUCGAUGCGACGCGAAGCACCUUACCUGGGUUCAAUUGGAGAGGCACCGGGGGUAAUGCCCCGUCCCCGCAAGGGGCCUCUUUGACGGUGCUGCAUGGCUGUCGUCAGCUCGUGCCGUGAGGUGUUGGGUUAAGUCCCCUAACGAGCGCAACCCCCGUGGACGGUUAUACCUCCGUUCAGACUGCCGCGCACAACGCGGAGGAAGGUGGGGAUGACGUCAAGUCAGCACGGCCCUUACGCCCAGGGCUACACACACGCUACAAUGGUCUGGACAAUGGGCAGCGACACGGCGACGUGAAGCGAAUCCCGCAAACCAGGCCUCAGUUCGGAUGGUAGGCUGCAACUCGCCUGCCUGAAGUCGGAGUUGCUAGUAACCGCAGGUCAGCACACUGCGGUGAAUACGUUCCCGGGUCUUGUACACACCGCCCGU